rnacentral:rRNA from 1 species
AACGCGAAGAACCUUACCUGGGCUCGAACGGCUCACGAACGUCCUUGGAAACAGGGAUUUCCCGCAAGGGACGGGAGUCGAGGUGCUGCAUGGCUGUCGUCAGCUCGUGUCGUGAGAUGUUGGGUUAAGUCCCGCAACGAGCGCAACCCUCGUCCUGUGUUGCUAAUCCGCAAGGAUGCACUCUCAGGAGACUGCCGGCGAUAAGUUGGAGGAAGGUGGGGAUGACGUCAAGUCAUCAUGGCCUUUAUGUCCAGGGCUACACACGUGCUACAAUGGACGGUACAAAGCGCUGCCAACCCGCGAGGGGGAGCUAAUCGCACAAAACCGUUCUCAGUUCGGAUUGCAGGCUGCAACUCGCCUGCAUGAAGCUGGAAUCGCUAGUAAUGGCAUAUCAGAACGAUGCCGUGAAUACGUUCCCGGGCCUUGUACACACCGCGUGUCU